ACUAUUUUGGCAGAUAAGUGCGUUAAAUUUAGAAUUUAUUUAUGUAAUUUAUAUUACAAGUAGUA
rnacentral:tRNA from 1 species